rnacentral:rRNA from 1 species
GUCUGUGGCCGCGCCACCCUGAACAAGCCCCAUCCCGUCUGAGCUCGGAAGCUAAGCAGGGUCGGGGCUGGUUAGUACUUGGAUGGGAGACCACCUGGGAAGAUCAGGUGCUGUAGGCG